AUUGAACGCUGGCGGCAGGCCUAACACAUGCAAGUCGAACGGUAACAGGAAGCAGCUUGCUGCUUCGCUGACGAGUGGCGGACGGGUGAGUAAUGUCUGGGAAGCUGCCUGAUGGAGGGGGAUAACUACUGGAAACGGUAGCUAAUACCGCACAAUGUCGCAAGACCAAAGAGGGGGACCUUCGGGUCUCUUGCCCUCGGAUGUGCCCAGAUGGGAUUAGCUUGUUGGUGGGGUAACGGCUCACCAAGGCGACGAUCCCUAGCUGGUCUGAGAGGAUGACCAGCCACACUGGGACUGAGACACGGUCCAGACUCCUACGGGAGGCAGCAGUGGGGAAUAUUGCACAAUGGGCGCAAGCCUGAUGCAGCCAUGCCGCGUGUAUGAAGAAGGCCUUCGGGUUGUAAAGUACUUUCAGCGGGAAGGAAGGGAGUAAAGUUAAUACCUUUGCUCAUUGACGUUACCCGCAGAAGAAGCACCGGCUAACUCCGUG
rnacentral:rRNA from 1 species